rnacentral:rRNA from 1 species
GACGAACGCUGGCGGCGUGCUUAACACAUGCAAGUCGAACGGAAAGGCCCUGCUUUUGUGGGGUGCUCGAGUGGCGAACGGGUGAGUAACACGUGAGUAACCUGCACCUGACUUUGGGAUAACUUCAGGAAACUGGGGCGAAUACAGGAUAGGAGCUACUGCUGCAUGGUGGGGGUUGGAAAGAUUCGGCGGUUGGGGAUGGACUCGAGGCUUAUCCGCCUGUUGGUGGGGUAGGGGCUGACCAAGGUUUUGAAGGGUAGCCGGCCUGGGAGGGUGGCCGGCCACAUUGCUCCUGAGGGACGGCCCAGACUGCUACGGGACGCAGCAGUCGGGAAUAUUGCGCAAUGGGCGGGAGCCUGAUGCAGCAACGCCGCGUUCGGGAUGACGGCCUUCGGGUUGUAAACCGCUUUCGCCUUUGACGAAGCGUUAGUGACGGUAAUGGGUAAAGAAGCACCGGCUAACUACGUG